rnacentral:rRNA from 1 species
GAUGAACGCUGGCGGCGUGCCUAAUACAUGCAAGUCGAGCGAACGGACGAGAAGCUUGCUUCUCUGAUGUUAGCGGCGGACGGGUGAGUAACACGUGGAUAACCUACCUAUAAGACUGGGAUAACUUCGGGAAACCGGAGCUAAUACCGGAUAAUAUUUUGAACCGCAUGGUUCAAAAGUGAAAGACGGUCUUGCUGUCACUUAUAGAUGGAUCCGCGCUGCACUAGCUAGUUGGUAAGGUAACGGCUUACCAAGGCAACGAUGCAUAGCCGACCUGAGAGGGUGAUCGGCCACACUGGAACUGAGACACGGUCCAGACUCCUACGGGAGGCAGCAGUAGGGAAUCUUCCGCAAAGGGCGAAAGCCUGACGGAGCAACGCCGCGUGAGUGAUGAAGGUCUUCGGAUCGUAAAACUCUGUUAUUAGGGAAGAACAUAUGUGUAAGUAACUGUGCACAUCUUGACGGUACCUAAUCAGAAAGCCACGGCUAACUACGUG